rnacentral:rRNA from 1 species
UACGUAGGGGGCAAGCGUUGUCCGGAUUUAUUGGGCGUAAAGAGCGUGUAGGCGGCUUCACAGGUCCGCUGUGAAAACUCGAGGCUCAACCUCGAGCUGUCGGUGGAAACCGUGUGGCUAGAGUCCGGAAGAGGAGAGUGGAAUUCCCAGUGUAGUGGUGAAAUACGUAGAGAUUGGGAAGAACACCAGUGGCGAAGGCGGCUAUCUGGACGGUUUCUGACACUAAGACUCGAAAGCGUGGGGAGCAAACAGG